AUGUAAUUAAAUAUAAAAAGGUGGCAUGAUUAGUUAAGGAUCAACUGGCUUGUCUGUGUUUCCUGAAUGUAUGUUUUACCAUUUUUGCCCUGGAUAUUUGGCAGGAAGCUGGCCUGGAGGACUGGAGCCCAUUGCGGUGUAUCCUCUUGUCUGAGCCCCACAGUCUCCCCGAGGAGCCAGCAUCCUGUGCUGUAUGGGCCAGAGUGUGCUGAGCAAGGGAAGGAAUCCCAUGCUUUGGCCUCAUUUUCUCUUGAUAGGUGACUAAACUGCAGGAAUGUGAACUGAAGACAAGAAGCCCAGCCUCUCCCGGCCUUCCUCCUGGGGCUGUGUCUGGCUGCCCGUGAGCUGAGUCGGAGGCAUGGCCAGUACCGGAGCUGAGCAGAAGUGACUAUAGGACAAGACUUUCUUCGUGUACUUUCACAUCCAGUGGCCCAUAGGAGACACUUGAGCCCAGGACAGUUCCAUUUACAGAUGUGUAAACUGAGAUUCUAAGACAUAAGGUGACUUUCUUGCAGUGACAUAGCAUAUAAUAGAGUCAAGAUUCCAACUCAGCUCCUUCUAAAUACCUCCUAAUCUUUUUGAAGUGACUGUCGACAGGUGCAUUCCUCAGAGUUAAACUGGAAUAUAGACUGACAAUGAAUACAUGUGGAAAAUGUUGGCUUUGAUAAAGAGAUUUCUUUACGGAAGGACUUCUCAGAGCAUUCGGUUACCUACAUCCACAGUGAAUUUUUCCAAGAAAGCCAUACAGAAUGCAGAAUUGCCCGAACUUUUUGACUACCAUAUCCUAUUUCUUCCUGAGGCAUCUCUGGAAUACGGUGAUAUAAAACAGAGGUUGGCAAAUGUUUUCUGUAAAGUACCAGAUAAUAAAUAUUUUCAGCUUGGGAGGCCAUAUGGUCUCUGUUGUAACUACUCACCUCUUCUGUUGUAGCUGAAAGCGGCCAUACACAGUAUGUAAACAAGUGGCUGUGUGCCAGUAAAACUUCAUUUACGAAACAGACCUCUGGCCUGCAGGUUUUGGUUUACCUACCCCUGUUCUAAAACAUUAAUUACAGAGACUUGGGUGUCACCCUAGACCUCUCCCUUUCCUCUACUUCCUGUGUACAUCCCACCUGCCAGGGCCUUGAACCCUAUCUCCAAAGUAUAUACAUCUGUUGUGGUCUCCAUUUCCACUUGUGCUACUUUAGAUGCAGGCCGCCAUCACCAGCACCUUAUGCUCCCAGCUGGCCUUCCUCUUUCGCUUAUCCCAUCAUUCUGUAG